rnacentral:rRNA from 1 species
UCGAGGGGCAGCAUGAUUGAAGCUUGCUUCAAUUGAUGGCGACCGGCGCACGGGUGAGUAACGCGUAUCCAACCUUCCGUACACUCAGGGAUAGCCUUUCGAAAGAAAGAUUAAUACCCGAUGGUAUGAUGAGAUUGCAUGAUAGCAUCAUUAAAGAUUUAUCGGUGUACGAUGGGGAUGCGUUCCAUUAGGUAGUAGGCGGGGUAACGGCCCACCUAGCCGACGAUGGAUAGGGGUUCUGAGAGGAAGGUCCCCCACAUUGGAGCUGAGACACGGUCCAAACUCCUACGGGAGGCAGCAGUGAGGAAUAUUGGUCAAUGGACGAGAGUCUGAACCAGCCAAGUAGCGUGAAGGAUGAAGGUCCUACGGAUUGUAAACUUCUUUUAUAAGGGAAUAAAACCUCCCACGUGUGGGAGCUUGUAUGUACCUUAUGAAUAAGCAUCGGCUAACUCCGUGCCAGCAGCCGCGGUAAUACGGAGGAUGCGAGCGUUAUCCGGAUUUAUUGGGUUUAAAGGGAGCGCAGACGGGUCGUUAAGUCAGCUGUGAAAGUUUGGGGCUCAACCUUAAAAUUGCAGUU